rnacentral:rRNA from 1 species
GACGAACGCUGGCGGCGUGCCUAACACAUGCAAGUCGAGCGAGUGAAUCUCCUUCGGGAGUGAAGCUAGCGGCGGACGGGUGAGUAACACGUGGGCAACCUGCCUCAUAGAGGGGAAUAGCCUUUCGAAAGGAAGAUUAAUACCGCAUAAGAUUGUAGCUUCGCAUGAAGUAGCAAUUAAAGGAGCAAUCCGCUAUGAGAUGGGCCCGCGGCGCAUUAGCUAGUUGGUGAGGUAACGGCUCACCAAGGCGACGAUGCGUAGCCGACCUGAGAGGGUGACCGGCCACAUUGGGACUGAGACACGGCCCAGACUCCUACGGGAGGCAGCAGUGGGGAAUAUUGCACAAUGGGGGAAACCCUGAUGCAGCAACGCCGCGUGAGUGAUGACGGCCUUCGGGUUGUAAAGCUCUGUCUUCAGGGACGAUAAUGACGGUACCUGAGGAGGAAGCCACGGCUAACUACGUGCCAGCAGCCGCCGUAAGAC